rfam:Physcomitrella patens subsp. patens PHYPAscaffold_376 genomic scaffold, whole genome shotgun sequence.
GGGCCGGGCGCUCAGCACAGAGCGAACUAUUCUUUCGCCUUUUACUAAAGAAUACCGUGCGCUGGGCGCAACGACCGGCAUAGCCAGAGUUUUUGGACUGCCCCGUUUGCGGGGCC